rnacentral:rRNA from 1 species
GCCUUUACUGACGCUAAAGCUCGAAGGUGCGGGUAUCGAACAGGAUUAGAUACCCUGGUAGUCCGCACGGUAAACGAUGGAUGCCCGCUGUUUGCGAUAUACUGUGAGCGGCCAAGAGAAAUCGUUAAGCAUCCCACCUGGGGAGUACGCCGGCAACGGUGAAACUCAAAGGAAUUGACGGGGGCCCGCACAAGCGGAGGAACAUGUGGUUUAAUUCGAUGAUACGCGAGGAACCUUACCCGGGCUUGAACUGCAGCGGAAGGAAACAGAGAUGUUGACGUCCUUCGGGACCGCUGUGGAGGUGCUGCAUGGUUGUCGUCAGCUCGUGCCGUGAGGUGUCGGCUUAAGUGCCAUAACGAGCGCAACCCCUUUCAUUAGUUGCCAUCACUUCGGGUGGGCACUCUGGUGAUACUGCCACCGUAAGGUGUGAGGAAGGUGGGGAUGACGUCAAAUCAGCACGGCCCUUACGUCCGGGGCUACACACGUGUUACAAUGGGUGAUACAGAGGGCCGGUGCAUGGCAAUGUGCAUCAAAUCUUGAAAGUCAUCCUCAGUUCGGAUUGGGGUCUGCAACCCGACCCCAUGAAGCUGGAUUCGCUAGU